ACUGAGUAACGCUACGGUAUGUUCACACGUUGUAGUCGUACGGAAAAGACAUCUCUAGUGGCGAACGGGUGAGUAACACGUAUUUGCCUUUAGGAAGAGGAUAACUAUUAGAAAUAACUUGCUAAAACUCUAUAUGCCUUACGGUGAAAAAAGAAAUUUGCCUAAAGAGAAGCUCGCGUCUGAUUAGCUAGUUGGUGGGGUAAGGCCUACCAAGGCGACGAUCAGUAGCUGGUCUGAGAGGAUGAUCAGCCACACUGGAACUGAGACACGGUCCAGACUCCUACAGGGAGGCAGCCAGUGAGGAAUUAUAGCACAAUGGGGGAAACCCUGACGCAGCAACGACAGCGUGGAGGAUGAAG
rnacentral:rRNA from 1 species